UACGUAGGGUGCAAGCGUUGUCCGGAAUUAUUGGGCGUAAAGGGCUCGUAGCGGAUCCGCCAGUUUGACGUGAAAUCUCCACCGCUCACCGGGGAGAGGUCGUUGAAUACUACGGAUCUGGAGUUCGGCAGAGGACCAUGGAAUUUCGGGUGUAGCGGUGAAAUGCGUAGAGAUCCGGAAGAACACCGGUGGCGAAGGCGGCCCGCUGGGCAGGAAGGGGUGGGUAACCAUCCCGGCUGACACUGAGGCGCGACAGCGUGGGGAGCAAACAGG
rnacentral:rRNA from 1 species